rnacentral:misc_RNA from 1 species
GGUCCUGUACCCAAGCUGCCACCUGUCCACCAAAUGAGGCUUGCUUUACUGGAAUUCGUAUUGUCGGUACAGCUAUUCGAUAUGUAUUUGGUUGCUACGAAGAGCGUGUCUGUAAAGCUAUGCUUGAUAAUGACAAAACUAACUCGACCAUUAACAGACAAGGAAGAGUUAUCCACGGAGACCAGGGAAUACGCAUCUGUGAUGCUUGUUGUAAAGGAGAUAGAUGCAAUGCCGCUGACUGUUUUGAUCUUAAAAAGAAAAUGGCAGCGCAAUUCACUUCCACUACACCAGGAGCAGUUGUAACCACAGCACUCCCACCUCCUGCAACGACAUAAUUUUAUAUGACAGCUGGGGAUUUUAGCAAUGGUUCUACAACCCCUGUCCCGACAGGAAAUCCUUGAAUUUAUGUUCAAAAAGUAUAAAUUGUUUUGCGUUUUGUACAUUUCUGUGAAGAUAAAAUAAACAUGUU